UACGUAGGGUGCAAGCGUUGUCCGGAAUUAUUGGGCGUAAAGAGCUCGUAGGCGGUUUGUCGCGUCUGCUGUGAAAACCCGAGGCUCAACCUCGGGCCUGCAGUGGGUACGGGCAGACUAGAGUGCGGUAGGGGGAGAUUGGAAUUCCUGGUGGUAGCGGUGGAAUGCGCAGAUAUCAGGAGGAACACCAAUGGCGAAGGCAGAUCUCUGGGCAAUAACUGACGCUGAGGAGCGAAAGCGUGGGGAGCGAACAGG
rnacentral:rRNA from 1 species